AUAUUUGAAAGUAUGAACACAAAAUAAAACAAAUUAGAAAUAAAUUUUAUACAUUGCUAGGCCACAUGAUGGUGGUAUACAAUAACUAAUAGAUGUGUCACGCUCACACAUACUCUUUACAUUUGUAAAGAUACAUAAUUUCAAACCUUACUAAUAUUAAUUUACUUAAGCUAUUCACAAUUGAUACAUACUCAUUCAUAUAUAUUAUUAGACCAAUUUCCACCGAUUGUUUGAGACAAUAUGCUUCAUUAUUUUUUCAUGCAAAUAUCCACAUAGUCACCUUCACUCAAAGAGACUGAGUUAAGAUUUAUGAGGCUGCAGUUAAAGGAGGGAAAUGUUUUGUUUCUUGAAAUAGAUGGCUGUGAUCCAAUUUAAUUUGAGAGUCUUCAUCUUCUUCAUCAAUUUCAGCAUCCCAAAGGAAUUUUGCAUAUGAAGCCAGCACAUAGCUGCCAAUUGUUAAGUAUAUCUAUUAGUAGUUCUCUACCAACACGAUAAACCCUUUUAUUUAUUUAUUGGGAAAUAGAUGGAAAAUGUAACUGGCGCCCUUUGUUGAGACUAGAUUCUCUCCAGUGCAGUUUCCACUGCAGGAGGUCGAGUGUCCAAUCCAACCAUUCAUUUUUUAAAUAAAAAAAAAUAAAAUUACAAUGAUAAUAAAAUGAGAGGUUGUGAUUUGACUAGACAGAAAAGUCCACUAGAGAGGAUCCUCUCCAGAACAUUGUUUAAGGGAUAAAAAAAAUCGCAUAGAAACUUGUGGUUUUUGCAAGUGUUUGCCAAUUUUUAAAAUUAAAUUCCCUUUUAGAAUACUUGUUUUUUUGAACAAAAGCUUUUAAAAAUAAUAUUACACUAUAUGUACAGAAAAUUAAUUUCUUUGACACAUAUCAUCAAGAGAUUAUACUAAAAUUUAGCUCAUAUACUAUAUAAUACUUAUGGAGAGGCAACAAAAAUCCUUGCUAUACUUAAUAUUUUAUAAUACUUGAUAUAAAAUAUUUGUACACAUACGUCCUAAUCAAAUUUUACUAUAUUAUCAUGUUAUGUUGU
rnacentral:lncRNA from 1 species